CUGCUGGAUCUUUAGCCUGCUGCAGACCCCCGCCAUAGAGGUGGCAGAGCAAGGAAAAGGCGGGCGCUGGUUCACUUCACUUCUAAGCGAACCGAAGAGGUGCAGGCAGGGAGCUCGACUCGUGCAGCUUCUCUCUUCAGCUCAGAUACUUCCAUCUGGCGUUGCAAUGAUACGAUGACCUAUAGGAAUGCCCAGGAUAAGGCAAGAGCAUCCACCGUGUCCUGUGUUGGAGGAUUCAGUUCUUAGCCUCUCAGAAAUGUGCAGAUGUGUCUCUGAAGAUCCAAUUUGAUCAUUAGUCUAAAUUUUCUGAAGUAAGAAAAGAAAAAGCAGGAAGCAACAUGCAACUUAAAUGAAGAACAAUUUCCACACUUACAUCUCCCAGUCUUUUCUCCAUCAUCAAUAAUGUCUGCUCCAUUUCGUGUUUGUCUCUCAGAGCAUUCAAUACGGCUCCAUAAUAGGACUCAGAGGUUUCUUGCA